rnacentral:rRNA from 1 species
AUACAUAGGGGGCGAGCGUUAUCCGGAUUUAUUGGGCGUAAAGGGUGCGUAGGCGGUAAAUUAAGUCUAAGGUUAAAGUGCAGGGCUCAACCCUGUGAUGCCUUAGAAACUGGUUUACUUGAGUUUGGUAGAGGUAAGUGGAACUCCAUGUGUAGCGGUAAAAUGCGUAAAUAUAUGGAAGAACACCAGUGGCGAAGGCGGCUUACUGGGCCACAACCGACGCUGAGGCACGAAAGCGUGGGGAGCAAACAGGAUUAGAUACCCUGGUAGUCCACGCUGUAAACGAUGAAUACUAAGUGUUGGAAAAAUCCAGUGCUGAAGUUAACGCAUUAAGUAUUCCGCCUGAGUAGUACGUACGCAAGUAUGAAACUCAAAUGAAUUGACGGGG